rnacentral:lncRNA from 1 species
AGAAAUUAAAAUAAUGGAAGAAUUGAAUUCUCUUAAUAAAGUACCAUAAUUGGAAUUCAAUUACUGAUUCGGAUUCAAAUUCAAAUUCCCGAUUAAUAAACACAACAUAAGAUUAGUAAACACAACAUAAGAUUAUAUCCGAAUACCAGUCAGAGUACAAAGAUAAUACAUUCCAUAUAAAUUGUCCAUCGCUACCAACAUCACGAAACCACAACCCCUACACAGCUAGAUAUGGAAAGUAAACAUCCUUCACGAUGAAGGUGAAGUAGAAC